UUGCCUUAUUAUUGAUGUGUUUUUUCGC
rnacentral:sRNA from 1 species